UGUUCACCUCUAUCCAGCAGAUGGCGCUAAACUCCAGUGUUAUAAUGCGCUGCUGACAGCUCUCUGGCAGUUUUUCCAAUCCGAAGUCUUAUUUCAGAAUAUUAACAAAUAUACAGUUGACUAUUAUUCUUAGUUAAUCGUAAAUUGUUGUAAUAUGCACAUGAAGAGGCGAAUGCAAAUGCAAUGCUCAGUUAACUUAAAUAAACCAGGCUUGAUGACGUAUGCAGCCUGCAAAUGUGACCUGCGCAGGCAGCAGCCUUCGGAUUGAGAAACGGCCUCUGCGUUUGUCUUGUCAGAAGCCUGAAAUUCAAAUUAAAUAUUACGGCGACACAUCUUUCUGAAACAUCUCUAAAAAAAUUCAGAGCGUAUUAUUGAGUUUUAUUUGCGUAUUAUUUAUAAUUCCUAUAUGCUAUAAUUAGCACGGGAUAUGUCACACAUGCUAUCGUAUGGUUUCGGAAUAUUACUUUGAAGUCUUUUGAGGGCUUUGGAAGCAGGCAGUGCUCAGAAAAAUAGACUACCGACCAGACCCGCAUUUCUCCUUACUCCUGCGCUUUUUCUCCAGCAGCCUCUGCCUCUUCUCCUCGCGCAGCCGUGCCUCCUCUUCCUCCUGAU